AAAUUGAAGAGUUUGAUCAUGGCUCAGAUUGAACGCUGGCGGCAGGCCUAACACAUGCAAGUCGAGCGGAAACGAGUUAUCAGAACCUUCGGGGGACGAUAACGGCGUCGAGCGGCGGACGGGUGAGUAAUGCCUAGGAAAUUGCCCUGAUGUGGGGGAUAACCAUUGGAAACGAUGGCUAAUACCGCAUGAUGCCUACGGGCCAAAGAGGGGGACCUUCGGGCCUCUCGCGUCAGGAUAUGCCUAGGUGGGAUUAGCUAGUUGGUGAGGUAAGGGCUCACCAAGGCGACGAUCCCUAGCUGG
rnacentral:rRNA from 1 species